rnacentral:lncRNA from 1 species
CCAACAACAAUAAUUUAUAAAUUUGCAAUUUACAUUAAAUUUAAUAAAUUGAACCUUAAAUUAUACCCAUUACAAUUCGAAUUUUUGAUUCAAAUUCAGUGUGCAAGUCUCAAAUUUCUACCUCCCGGGGUCUCGUUGGCCGGUAGCCGAACUGCCAGCUUCUACGGUGGCCGAAAAAUCUUGGCCGCUAGGAAUCGGGCACUCUUCACACCAUCUGGCUCGAUUUUCACUCAGGAGUCCAUUUUUGGCGUUGGUUGGGUGAGAUCAUCCUUUAGCUGCCCGCUGGCAUCACAAUCGAUUUAGAGGAAAGAGUCACCGCUCGGCUGAGUUGCAAUGCUCGCUGGAGUCUCGAGCAAGGAGAGGCGUGACUUGAGUCGAUGGCGACCGGAGGAUGAAAUCACUAAGGCUAGAGGUGUCGUUGCGUCGUCGCCAAAGAGAGAUCGCAGCUCACCUACCUGCUGCGCUCACCGAAGAUGAGAACUGAGAGAGAGAAGUUGGCACGACGAUGAGAAGAAGAUGCUUCCAUUGGUUCAGGUGACCGGAAAUAAGAGAGGAAGAGUGAGAGAGAGGUUGAGCGCCACUAGAUCGGGAAGAAGAAUGAAAAAGAAAUGAAAAGAAAGAAAGAAGAAACUCCUAGGGCUUUCUAGAUCAUUCAGUUUCGAUUUGAAUCGAUUUGGUCCAACUCAACGGUUUAGUCUUUUUUUUAUCUGUUUUAUAGAUUUGUUUUUUUUAUUCAGUG